rnacentral:piRNA from 1 species
AGCUCAGAUGAUGCUUUGGCGUUC